rnacentral:lncRNA from 10 species
AGACUAGGCAAGGGUAGUCAAACCAUCUUAACUAGAUUUUGCUUACACGUUUUAUACACUGGCUACACGGAACCAGUCUGAAAAGCAGUUGCAACAUGACUUUAAAUCAGGAAUUCCAAAUCUGUCCUUAGGAAAGAAUCAGUGUUCAGAACUGGUAUGUUUAGCACACAAUUGCUGUGGUGAUGUCAUGCUCUCCCUGGCCAGGUCUGAGCCGCGACAGAUGAGGGACAGACAUUCAUGGCAAAUGGAACCGCUCUUCUCAUUCCUAUGGGCCCCUCGCCUCUCCUCCCUGCCCUUGGGCAGUAUGUGGGAUGCAGGGAUAUGGAAUCCGGCUGACCUCGCUUCCUCCACCCUCUGCCUCAUGGCAUCGGCAGGACUGGGGGGUCCUCUGAGGCAGCAGGUACCCCUUGCUCGCCUCCUAUGGCCGUUGCCUUGCAGGCAGCCCUUCUUCAAGGUGGUGGGAGCUGCCCCACGAGCCCAUCAGGCUGCCCUUCCCUGCCCGCGCCAGUGUUGGUUCUGCUAGACCUUUGCAGUGCUCCUGGAGUGUUCCACUGGCCAAAUAAGAAUAAUCCUGAUUUCUCUAAUGAUUACCAUGUACAGGCACUGUGGUAAAGGUAUUUUUAUUAUGUCCAACUUACAGACAAUAAAAUGAAGUUUUGAAAUCUUCUCAAGGUCCAAGGAUACCAAACUAAUGACUUGCAAAUCCAGGGUUCAAAUCUAGCGUUUCUGGUGCCCUUAAAUGUAUUAUACUGCAUCCUAUACAGAACAUAUACCAGAUAUUUCUGGUGUAAACAUUCUGUAGCGCACUGAAAAACAAAUUGGGACUGUUAUCAUCACCUUUAAUUUACAGAUGAAAUAACCAAGGCUUAGAAAGUAUAAGUGACUUUCUAAGGUCACA